GAGUUUGAUCGUGGCUCAGGACGAACGCUGGCGGCGUGCCUAAUACAUGCAAGUCGAGCGGAUCUUCAUUAGCUUGCUUUUGAAGAUCAGCGGCGGACGGGUGAGUAACACGUGGGCAACCUGCCUGUAAGACUGGGAUAACUUCGGGAAACCGGAGCUAAUACCGGAUAAUCCUUUUCCUCUCAUGAGGAAAAGCUGAAAGACGGUUUCGGCUGUCACUUACAGAUGGGCCCGCGGCGCAUUAGCUAGUUGGUGAGGUGACGGCUCACCAAGGCGACGAUGCGUAGCCGACCUGAGAGGGUGAUCGGCCACACUGGGACUGAGACACGGCCCAGACUCCUACGGGAGGGCAGC
rnacentral:rRNA from 1 species